UCUCGUCCAUCUUCCUCCUCUCACUUCUCUCUAAACCUUUCCCUUGGAGUAGUACACUAAAUCUAGAGAGAGGUGAGGUGGAGAAAUUAAUUAGAUGCAGUACUGGAAUCUAAAUACGAAGUGAACCUAAGUAGGAGAAGUAGGUUUAAUCGUGUUCCUAAAUCUUGAAAUUGAAGAAGCUGUUGGAGAAACUAAUCCAAACCCAAUAUUGAUAAUCUCAAAAACUGUUUAUUGUAACAGUACGUAGUAGUGGAGCUAGC
rnacentral:lncRNA from 1 species